rnacentral:rRNA from 1 species
GAUGAACGCUGGCGGCGUGCCUAAUACAUGCAAGUCGAGCGAACGGACGAGAAGCUUGCUUUUCUGAUGUUAGCGGCGGACGGGUGAGUAACACGUGGAUAACCUACCUAUAAGACUGGGAUAACUUCGGGAAACCGGAGCUAAUACCGGAUAAUAUUUUGAACCGCAUGGUUCAAAAGUGAAAGACGGUCUUGCUGUCACUUAUAGAUGGAUCCGCGCUGCAUUAGCUAGUUGGUAAGGUAACGGCUUACCAAGGCAACGAUGCAUAGCCGACCUGAGAGGGUGAUCGGCCACACUGGAACUGAGACACGGUCCAGACUCCUACGGGAGGCAGCAGUAGGGAAUCUUCCGCAAUGGGCGAAAGCCUGACGGAGCAACGCCGCGUGAGUGAUGAAGGUCUUCGGAUCGUAAAACUCUGUUAUUAGGGAAGAACAUAUGUGUAAGUAACUGUGCACAUCUUGACGGUACCUAAUCAGAAAGCCACGGCUAACUACGUGCCAGCAGCCGCGGUAAUACGUANGUGGCAAGCGUUAUCCGGAANUUAUGGGCGUAACGCGCGUAGCGGUUUUUUAGUCUGAUGUGAAAGCCCACGGCUCAACCGUGGAGGGUCAUUGGAAACUGGAAAACUUGAGUGCAGAAGAGGAAAGUGGAAUUCCAUGUGUAGCGGUGAAAUGCGCAGAGAUAUGGAGGAACACCAGUGGCGAAGGCGACUUUCUGGUCUGUAACUGACGCUGAUGUGCGAAAGCGUGGGGAUCAAACAGGAUUAGAUACCCUGGUAGUCCACGCCGUAAACGAUGAGUGCUAAGUGUUAGGGGGUUUCCGCCCCUUAGUGCUGCAGCUAACGCAUUAAGCACUCCGCCUGGGGAGUACGACCGCAAGGUUGAAACUCAAAGGAAUUGACGGGGACCCGCACAAGCGGUGGAGCAUGUGGUUUAAUUCGAAGCAACGCGAAGAACCUUACCAAAUCUUGACAUCCUUUGACAACUCUAGAGAUAGAGCCUUCCCCUUCGGGGGACAAAGUGACAGGUGGUGCAUGGUUGUCGUCAGCUCGUGUCGUGAGAUGUUGGGUUAAGUCCCGCAACGAGCGCAACCCUUAAGCUUAGUUGCCAUCAUUAGGUUGGGCACUCUAAGUUGACUGCCGGUGACAAACCGGAGGAAGGUGGGGAUGACGUCAAAUCAUCAUGCCCCUUAUGAUUUGGGCUACACACGUGCUACAAUGGACAAUACAAAGGGCAGCGAAACCGCGAGGUCAAGCAAAUCCCAUAAAGUUGUUCUCAGUUCGGAUUGUAGUCUGCAACUCGACUACAUGAAGCUGGAAUCGCUAGUAAUCGUAGAUCAGCAUGCUACGGUGAAUACGUUCCCGGGUCU